rnacentral:rRNA from 1 species
UACGUAGGGGGCAAGCGUUAUCCGGAUUUACUGGGUGUAAAGGGAGCGUAGACGGCCAUACAAGCCAGAUGUGAAAGCCCGGGGCUCAACCCCGGGACUGCAUUUGGAACUGUAUGGCUGGAGUGUCGGAGAGGCAGGCGGAAUUCCUAGUGUAGCGGUGAAAUGCGUAGAUAUUAGGAGGAACACCAGUGGCGAAGGCGGCCUGCUGGACGAUGACUGACGUUGAGGCUCGAAAGCGUGGGGAGCAAACAGG